rnacentral:rRNA from 1 species
GACGAACGCUGGCGGCGUGCUUAACACAUGCAAGUCGAACGGAAAGGCCUCUUUCGGGGGGUACUCGAGUGGCGAACGGGUGAGUAACACGUGAGUAACCUGCCCUUGACUUUGGGAUAACUUCAGGAAACUGGGGCUAAUACCGGAUAGGAGCUCCUGCUGCAUGGUGGGGGUUGGAAAGUUUCGGCGGUUGGGGAUGGACUCGCGGCUUAUCAGCUUGUUGGUGGGGUAGUGGCUUACCAAGGCUUUGACGGGUAGCCGGCCUGAGAGGGUGACCGGCCACAUUGGGACUGAGAUACGGCCCAGACUCCUACGGGAGGCAGCAGUGGGGAAUAUUGCACAAUGGGUGGAAGCCUGAUGCAGCAACGCCGUGUGCGGGAUGACGGCCUUCGGGUUGUAAACCGCUUUCGCUCAUGACGAAGCUUUGUGUGACGGUAGUGGGGAAAGAAGCACCGGCUAACUACGU